rnacentral:lncRNA from 1 species
AAUUUAGUGUGUAGGAGCACCAUCAUUGUGAAGCCUAUAAUAUUAUGUUCUCAGUCCACUCAAUACAUUUGGGUAACCUUUAUCAUCUCAUAAGAACUCAAGUAUAAAUUUCUCUAUACUCUAUUGGUUUUAUCAUACUUCAGAGUAGGUGUAAAUUGUUAGCACCAGGAAAGUGUAGGACAUAUAGGAAUUGCGCACUUUUGAGGUUUGCUAACCCAACUUGUAUGAUGACUUAAAUUACGUAUCUGUAGAGCAUAACUCAAAUUGUACACUUUGAAAGCAUGACUGAAAUUCCACACCCUAAGAGAUUAAUUUAAACGGUGCAUCCAAAGGAGCGCAACCAAAAAUUGCACACCUUUAAGUGCGCAAUCAUUUCCCAAGGGAUGCCUACUUAUUCUCUUUUGUAUUAUUGUCCAAGCACGCCAUCCAUAAUAAAAAUCUUUAUUCUCUUAUGUAAACUUUUUGGAAGAAAAAUGCCUUCCCAAAUAAAACCAUAAUUGCUUAGAGACUUUUGUCCACCCCACCAUCAUAUCAAUUGAGGUAACCGAGAAGUCUUCUAAGUUUUAUAUAAAAGAAGUAAUUUUCACUAAAGUAGUCACUGCAAUAAAUACUAAAAUAAUCCAACGAAGCAUUCAGUGGAAUGAGCAUAUUAUAAAAUUGUACAUGGGAACCCGACAGUAAUUCAUAUCAAGAAAGUAGAUAGGGGAUAGUAAAUAUAGCUCACCAUGAAACCCCACCAUUAGAGCUCUGUACAGAAGUUCGAAUCCAGGCUUGUCUGCGAAAGGACUUGGAUCUACAUCAUCUCUGGUGACGCUUAAUAAAUAUGAAGUCAGCUCUUUAUGACCAUACCUAACAGCGCUGUGAAGAGGCGCAAAAUUGUGGCGUUGGCAGAUAUUGGGCAAGCUUGGGUUUCUGUUCACUAACAACUUGACUGCUUUUAUAUUGCCAGCCCUUGCAGCGUUGAAAAGGGUAGUGGCGCCAUCAGAAUCCCGCAGAGCCAGUGCCUCACUUGGCAUAAACUCAACGAACUUCUCCACGAAAUCCAUUCUGGCCUCUCCUAACUCAACUGCUAUGUGAAGCAUUGGGGAAUCAUCUGUUCCAAUCGGGGCGGAGAAUGAUUUGGGAUCAUCCGCCAAUAAUUUUGAAGCACUUUCCCAGUCACCAUUGAGCACAGCUUUGUACAGUUCCAAGUAAUAGAAUUCUGCAGUCACAAAACCAAAAGAUGUAUACCUCGCAGAGAAGAUACUCUCAUCCAAAGAGAAACAACAGCAGCCCCUUUUUCCCAGAGUCUUCAAAAGAUACAGGAAAUGGGCCAGGAACCAUUGAAGCAUAAGAGGUGCAAUGAUAGAGUCUUCCAAGUCAACUUUAUUUAGUUGAGUAUUGGGUCAGGAGUAGAUAUAGCGUUGAAACGUUAUGACUGGUGGAUGAUAGUCAUUCAAAAUAAACAAAGAAAAUUAGGGGGUAACUUUGAGCCGUUUGUUUUCGCAUGAUUUCUUCUGACUCUGUUGCUGGGCAUAGACCUCGACUGCCAUACAAGCACAGUCACCAGCGGCUGCCGUGGGAAUUAAUCCUAUGCACCACACAUUGCUAUGAUAGUUUACAAUAACUAAUUAUAUAAAAUCUGUUAAAAUAUUUUAUAUAAUUAACUUUUUGGAAUUUUUUUUUUAUCAAGUAGUAAAAUAAAGAAAAUUUAGGAAAAAAAUAUUUUUGAAAAAUGAUAAGUUUAAAAAAACGAUAAAGUUUUUGUAAAAUAUAGAAAAGGAUACAAGGCUAUUAAAUCAUAAUUAUAUGAUAACCUUUUAGUAUUUCAAUCUUUGAAUUUUUUUUGGAGAUUAUUUCCAUAAAUUCCACAUUCCAAAAACAAUGAUAAUCUUUACACAAUAUUAUUGUCAUAAAAAAUAAAAUUUUUUAAAAAAAUUAGAGAUUACAAAGAAUAUAAGGAUACGAAGAAUGUGAGAAUUGUCAUAUUUUUCGUACCCUCCUCACAUUCUUCAUGGCCCAACCCAUUUGAAUUUUUUUAUUUUUUUAUUUUUUUCAAACAUUAUUUACUUCACUUGCAAGUGUAAUUAGUGUUUUUACACAAUAUUAUUGUCAAAUGAAGUAAACAAAAAAAUCCUUAUUCUCUUAUGUAAACUUUUUGGAAGAAAAAUGCCUUCCCAAAUAAAACCAUAAUUGCUUAGAGACUUUUGUCCACCCCACCAUCAUAUCAAUUGAGGUAACCGAGAAGUCUUCUAAGUUUUAUAUAAAAGAAGUAAUUUUCACUUCCUUUUGCAUGCACUCAAACAAGAACACACACAAUAACGCAACAUGAAAAC